GGUUCCCCUGCUCUGCCCGGAUUACAGUGGGUGGGCAGGACGGGGGAACAGAACUUUAACCCCCCGUCCCUGAUCUGCUAUUGGUCGAUCGCUUCUAAUCAACCAAUAGCAGGGAUAGGAGUGGUGGCACCCCUGCCACCUAACUUCUAUCCCUUCAGGGGGACACCCUUGGACACCCCCGAUCCCCCUUAUUUUCCAGGUCAUCGGAGACCCGUAUGACCCAGAAUCGCCUCAAAUGGCUCAGGACCCCUCUGGGCAUUGGCACGGGAUGCCUGUUGAAUGAUUUACAGAAAUAUUCUCAAGUUUCGAUACAUUCUGGAUUCCCCAUCUGUCAUCUCCGGCUGCAACAUUCAAAUAUCCUGUGUUGAGAAGGACCAGCAAGUAAAGACUGGUGAGGGACCCUGAAUGCAUUAGAAUGGAAGUGGCAAGGGAUUGGGACUGGCGAUUCUCUUCUGUACCUGCCCUGCGCAGAGACCGUGCUGAUGAUCCGUGACACCCAUGAAUUAAUGUUCUCGCGAGAAGUACGAUAUAUUUAGCAUGGUGGUGGCUGUGCACGUGAUAGGCUUGAGAAUGGGAGUUCUAUCUCCUGAAACGUCGCCAGGUUCAUGGUCGGAGCUCUGAUGCCUUGAGCGAUCAGACUUCCAGCCCACAGGAGAUGCAGUAGAUUAUGGCCAGGAACAGGAGACCUCGGUGAGGCGGAUGAACUCUGUAGCUGCCUUUUCAACUUCUGCUACUCUAUCACUGGUGAUUAUCCUGUAUGAUAUCCUUUAUUUUCUGUCUAUGUAACAGUUGAAGAUACCUUGGAUAAAAGAAUUUGGAUACAU